rnacentral:rRNA from 1 species
AUUGAACGCUGGCGGCAGGCCUAACACAUGCAAGUCGAACGAGUGGCGGACGGGUGAGUAAUGUCUGGGAAACUGCCCGAUGGCGGGGGAUAACUACUGGAAACGGUAGCUAAUACCGCAUACCAUCGGAUGUGCCCCUAUGGGAUUAGCUAGUAGGUGGGGUAACGGCUCACCUAGGCAACGAUCCCUAGCUGGUCUGAGAGGAUGACCAGCCACACUGGAACUGAGACACGGUCCAGACUCCUACGGGAGGCAGCAGUGGGGAAUUUUGAACAAUGGGGGAAAGCCUGAUGCAGCCAUGCCGCGUGUAUGAUGAAGGCCUUCGGGUUGUAAAGUACUUUCGGCAAGGAAGCGUUACUUGCAGAAGAAGCACCGGCUAACUCCGUGCCAGCAGCCGCGGUAAUAC